rnacentral:rRNA from 1 species
GUUUUUUGUACUCUUUCUUUAACAAUAAGCAAGGAGGAGUAGAGACCAACAGGGAUUGCCUCAGUAGCGGCGAGUGAAGCGGCAAGAGCUCAGAUUUGAAAUCGUGCUUUGCGGCACGAGUUGUAGAUUGCAGGUUGGAGUCUGUGUGGAAGGCGGUGUCCAAGUCCCUUGGAACAGGGCGCCCAGGAGGGUGAGAGCCCCGUGGGAUGCCGGCGGAAAGCAUUGAGGCCCUUCUGACGAGUCGAGUUGUUUGGGAAUGCAGCUCCAAGCGGGUGGUAAAUUCCAUCUAAGGCUAAAUACUGGCGAGAGACCGAUAGCGAACAAGUACUGUGAAGGAAAGAUGAAAAGCACUUUGAAAAGAGAGUGAAACAGCACGUGAAAUUGUUGAAAGGGAAGGGUAUUGCGCCCGACCAUGGGGAUUGCGCACCGCUGCCUCUCGUGGGCGGCGCUCUGGGCUUUCCCUGGGCCAGCAUCGGUUCUUGCUGCAGGAGAAGGGGUUCUGGAACGUGGCUCUUCGGAGUGUUAUAGCCAGGGCCAGAUGCUGCGUGCGGGGACCGAGGACUGCGGCCGUGUAGGUCACGGAUGCUGGCAGAACGGCGCUAACACCGCCGGAAAAAGAUAAAUAAAAAAAAAAGU